CACCGCCCAUCAUUCCUAUUGAUUAAAUGGUCCGGUGAAGUCUUUGGAUCACAACAACGUGGGCAGUCUAUUGUCCGCACUAUCGUGAAAAAUCCAUUGAACCUUAUCAUUUAGAGGAAGGAGAAGUCAUAACAAGGUUUCUAUAGGUGAACCUGUAAAGG
rnacentral:ncRNA from 1 species